rnacentral:rRNA from 1 species
CGCUCUUUGUUUCCAUACAACAUAAAGAGUCGAACCUGCCCAGUGAUUCUAUUUAACGGCCGCGGUACUCUGACCGUGCAAAGGUAGCAUAAUCAUUUGCCUUAUAAUUGAAGGCUCGUAUGAACGGUUUGACAAGAGUAAAACUGUCUCUAUAUAAAUUUUAUAGAAUUUGGUUUUUAGGUGAAGAAACCUAAAUAAAAUUGAAAGACAAGAAGACCCUAUCGAGCUUAAAAUAAGUUUCUUGAAAAUAUUAAAGACUAGUUUCAUGAAAAAAUUUUGGUUGGGGCGACUAAGGAACAUCCAAAGCUUCCUAUAAAAUAUACAAACCAAUAAGUUUUGAUCCAAAAAUUUGAUUAACAGAAAUAGUUACCGUAGGGAUAACAGCAAUAAUCUU